rnacentral:misc_RNA from 1 species
AGACUAGGGUUCCAAAAAUAACACUCAUUUUUCAAAUAUCCAUAUUGCUUUUGCUGAGUCUUUCCCGGCUGCCGCUCUGCCGCCGCCAGCUGCCGCUUGUUCAUUAUAGCAUAUAGGAGAUCAUCAGUUGCUUGCCCUUGGUUCUGAUAUGCAGUCAAACAGCAAAGAUCUGCUUCACUUGGAGACUGAAGGCUUGUCCUUGGAAUCAAAACUUCUCUUUUGCACUAGUGAUGGCGGAUCUCAAUCUCUAAAUUUGAAACCUGACGACCUUCCUGAUAACAAGCCUAACAAGCCUGAAAUCUCUUCUGUACCGAGAAGCCAAGUUCUAACAAAGGUCAAGGAUUUUUUGGGAGUAUUUUUGGA